rnacentral:rRNA from 1 species
AGUGAACGCUGGCGGUAGGCCUAACACAUGCAAGUCGAACGGCAGCACAGUAAGAGCUUGCUCUUACGAGUGGCGAGUGGCGGACGGGUGAGGAAUACAUCGGAAUCUACUUUUUCGUGGGGGAUAACGUAGGGAAACUUACGCUAAUACCGCAUACGACCUACGGGUGAAAGCAGGGGAUCUUCGGACCUUGCGCGAUUGAAUGAGCCGAUGUCGGAUUAGCUAGUGGGCGGGGUAAAGGCCCACCAAGGCGACGAUCCGUAGCUGGUCUGAGAGGAUGAUCAGCCACACUGGAACUGAGACACGGUCCAGACUCCUACGGGAGGCAGCAGUGGGGAAUAUUGGACAAUGGGCGCAAGCCUGAUCCAGCCAUACCGCGUGGGUGAAGAAGGCCUUCGGGUUGUAAAGCCCUUUUGUUGGGAAAGAAAAGCAGCAGGUUAAUACCCCGCUGUUCUGACGGUACCCAAAGAAUAAGCACCGGCUAACUUCGUG